rnacentral:rRNA from 1 species
UUAAGUUAAUAAGGGCGCACGGUGGAUGCCUUGGCACUAGGAGCCGACGAAGGACGUGACAAACGACGAUAUGCCUUGGGUAGCUGUAAGUAAGCGAUGAUCCAGGGAUUUCCGAAUGGGGGAACCCAACAGGUAAUACCUGUUACCACAUCUGUUAAGGAUGUGAGGAGGAAGACGCAGUGAACUGAAACAUCUAAGUAGCUGCAGGAAGAGAAAGCAAAAGCGAUUGCCUUAGUAGCGGCGAGCGAAACGGCAGAAGGGCAAACCGAAGAGUUUACUCUUCGGGGUUGUAGGACUGCAAUGUGGACUCAAAGAUUAUAGAAGAAUGAUUUGGGAAGAUCAGCCAAAGAGAGUAAUAGCCUCGUAUUUAAAAUAGUCUUUGUACCUAGCAGUAUCCUGAGUACGGCGGGACACGUGAAAUCCCGUCGGAAUCUGGGAGGACCAUCUCCCAACCCUAAAUACUCCCUAGUGACCGAUAGUGAACCAGUACCGUGAGGGAAAGGUGAAAAGCACCCCGGGAGGGGAGUGAAAUAGAACCUGAAACCGUGUGCCUACAACAAGUUCGAGCCCGUUAAUGGGUGAGAGCGUGCCUUUUGUAGAAUGAACCGGCGAGUUACGUUAUGAUGCGAGGUUAAGUUGAAGAGACGGAGCCGUAGGGAAACCGAGUCUGAAUAGGGCGCCUUAGUAUCAUGACGUAGACCCGAAACCAUGUGACCUACCCAUGAGCAGGUUGAAGGUGCGGUAAGACGCACUGGAGGACCGAACCAGGGCACGUUGAAAAGUGCUUGGAUGACUUGUGGGUAGCGGAGAAAUUCCAAACGAACUUGGAGAUAGCUGGUUCUCUCCGAAAUAGCUUUAGGGCUAGCGUCGACAUUAGAGAUUCUUGGAGGUAGAGCACUGUUUGGGUGAGGGGUCCAUCCCGGAUUACCAAUCUCAGAUAAACUCCGAAUGCCAAUGAAUUAUGGUCGGCAGUCAGACUGCGAGUGCUAAGAUCCGUAGUCGAAAGGGAAACAGCCCAGACCACCAGCUAAGGUCCCAAAAUAAUUGUUAAGUGGAAAAGGAUGUGGGGUUGCACAGACAACUAGGAUGUUAGCUUAGAAGCAGCUAUUCAUUCAAAGAGUGCGUAAUAGCUCACUAGUCGAGUGACCCUGCGCCGAAAAUGUACCGGGGCUAAAACAAUUUACCGAAGCUGUGGAUACCUUUAUAGGUAUGGUAGGAGAGCGUUCUAUGUGUGAUGAAGGUAUACCGUGAGGGUGCUGGAACGCAUAGAAGUGAGAAUGCCGGUAUGAGUAGCGAAAGACAGGUGAGAAUCCUGUCCACCGUAAGACUAAGGUUUCCAGGGGAAGGCUCGUCCGCCCUGGGUUAGUCGGGACCUAAGGAGAGACCGAAAGGUGUAUCCGAUGGACAACAGGUUGAUAUUCCUGUACUAGAGUAUGUAGUGAUGGAGGGACGCAGUAGGCUAACUAAAGCAGACGAUUGGAAGAGUCUGUCUAAGCAGUGAGGUGUGAAUUGAGUCAAAUGCUUAAUUCUAUAACAUUGAGCUGUGAUGGGGAGCGAAGUUUAGUAGCGAAGUUAGUGACGUCACACUGCCAAGAAAAGCUUCUAGCGUUUAAACAUACUCUACCCGUACCGCAAACCGACACAGGUAGUCGAGGCGAGUAGCCUCAGGUGAGCGAGAGAACUCUCGUUAAGGAACUCGGCAAAAUGACCCCGUAACUUCGGGAGAAGGGGUGCUGACUUAAAGUCAGCCGCAGUGAAUAGGCCCAAGCAACUGUUUAUCAAAAACACAGCUCUCUGCUAAAUCGUAAGAUGAUGUAUAGGGGGUGACGCCUGCCCGGUGCUGGAAGGUUAAGAGGAGUGCUUAGCGUAAGCGAAGGUAUGAAUUGAAGCCCCAGUAAACGGCGGCCGUAACUAUAACGGUCCUAAGGUAGCGAAAUUCCUUUCGGGUAAGUUCCGACCCGCACGAAAGGCGUAAUGAUUUGGGCACUGUCUCAACGAGAGACUCGGUGAAAUUUUAGUACCUGUGAAGAUGCAGGUUACCCGCGACAGGACGGAAAGACCCCAUGGAGCUUUACUGCAGUUUGAUAUUGAGUGUCUGUACCACAUGUACAGGAUAGGUAGGAGUCUAAGAGAUCGGGACGCCAGUUUCGAAGGAGACGCUGUUGGGAUACUACCCUUGUGUUAUGGCCACUCUAACCCAGAUAGGUGAUCCCUAUCGGAGACAGUGUCUGACGGGCAGUUUGACUGGGGCGGUCGCCUCCUAAAAGGUAACGGAGGCGCCCAAAGGUUCCCUCAGAAUGGUUGGAAAUCAUUCGCAGAGUGUAAAGGUAUAAGGGAGCUUGACUGCGAGAGCUACAACUCGAGCAGGGACGAAAGUCGGGCUUAGUGAUCCGGUGGUUCCGUAUGGAAGGGCCAUCGCUCAACGGAUAAAAGCUACCCUGGGGAUAACAGGCUUAUCUCCCCCAAGAGUUCACAUCGACGGGGAGGUUUGGCACCUCGAUGUCGGCUCGUCGCAUCCUGGGGCUGUAGUCGGUCCCAAGGGUUGGGCUGUUCGCCCAUUAAAGCGGCACGCGAGCUGGGUUCAGAACGUCGUGAGACAGUUCGGUCCCUAUCCGUCGCGGGCGUAGGAAAUUUGAGAGGAUCUGCUCCUAGUACGAGAGGACCAGAGUGGACUUACCGCUGGUGUACCAGUUGUCUUGCCAAAGGCAUCGCUGGGUAGCUAUGUAGGGAAGGGAUAAACGCUGAAAGCAUCUAAGUGUGAAACCCACCUCAAGAUGAGAUUUCCCAUGAUUAUAUAUCAGUAAGAGCCCUGAGAGAUGAUCAGGUAGAUAGGUUAGAAGUGGAAGUGUGGCGACACAUGUAGCGGACUAAUACUAAUAGCUCGAGGACUUAUCCAA